rnacentral:sRNA from 1 species
CCCUAGCCCCGAUGGAAGCGGCAUCCUUUUGUUGAUGAGGGUACUUCGGCUCCGCUCAGCAACCCGAGUCAACAAAAGAUAUAGCGGACAGCGGGAUUAAGC